GCCGAUGUGAUGAAAUUGGUAAACAUGUACGGUUCAGAGCCGUAUGCCACAAGGCUUGUGGGUUCAAAUCCCACCAUCGGCA
rnacentral:tRNA from 1 species